rnacentral:rRNA from 1 species
UACGUAGGGGGGCUAGCGUUGUCCGGAUUUAUUGGGCGUAAAGAGCGUGUAGGCGGCCAGGUAGGUCUGCUGUGAAAACCUGAGGCUCAACCUCAGGCCUGCAGUCGAUACGGGCGGACUUGAGUACUGCAGGGGAGACUGGAAUUCCUGGUGUAGCGGUGGAAAUGCGCAGAUAUCAGGAGGAACACCGGUGGCGAAGGCGGGUCUCUGGGCAGUAACUGACGCUGAGGAGCGAAAGCGUGGGGAGCGAACAGG